UAAUAUUGUACUUAUGGGAAGUGAAAAGUUAGCUUAAUUACUGACCGUCCCUAGAGCAAGUGGCAAAGAGCUUGGUGGUUGGUAUCUGAGGUCCCAAAUUCGAAUUCUAGUUGGUUCACAUUUCUAGCUAAAUUUAUUUCUAAAUAAAAUAAACGAAACGAGUAGCGUACUACCUAUCUCUCAAAAAAAAGAAAGUUAGCUUAAUUAAUUA
rnacentral:lncRNA from 1 species